rnacentral:rRNA from 1 species
GUGGGGAAUAUUGCACAAUGGGGGAAACCCUGAUGCAGCGACGCCGCGUGAGCGAUGAAGUAUUUCGGUAUGUAAAGCUCUAUCAGCAGGGAAGAAAAUGACGGUACCUGACUAAGAAGCACCGGCUAAAUACGUGCCAGCAGCCGCGGUAAUACGUAUGGUGCAAGCGUUAUCCGGAUUUACUGGGUGUAAAGGGAGCGUAGACGGAGUGGCAAGUCUGAUGUGAAAACCCGGGGCUCAACCCCGGGACUGCAUUGGAAACUGUCAAUCUAGAGUACCGGAGAGGUAAGCGGAAUUCCUAGGGUAGCGGUGAAAUGCGUAGAUAUUAGGAGGAACACCAGUGGCGAAGGCGGCUUACUGGACGGUAACUGACGUUGAGGCUCGAAAGCGUGGGGAGCAAACAGG